rnacentral:lncRNA from 1 species
CAUAGAAAAAUACUCUGUUUAUUUUUAUAUGUAAUAUUAUAUUGCGCAUAUCUCAACUAUACAGUUUUAUCUGAAAAUAGAGAAGCAUUUUUCUAUAUGUCUCUACUCAAAUUCUGUUUUGACUUAAUAGCAUUAAAUGAUCCUUAAUACACAACACUUAAUAUUCUUAACACACUCUCUUAACGCUUGUUAGAUUAUAGUACCAUGGGCCUAAUACAAAAACUUAAUCUAACAAAUAA